rnacentral:rRNA from 1 species
UCUUUUCAUUGUGUGCCAGCAGCCGCGGUAAUACGGAGGAUGCGAGCGUUAUCCGGAUUUAUUGGGUUUAAAGGGUGCGUAGGUGGUGAUUUAAGUCAGCGGUGAAAGUUUGUGGCUCAACCAUAAAAUUGCCGUUGAAACUGGGUUACUUGAGUGUGUUUGAGGUAGGCGGAAUGCGUGGUGUAGCGGUGAAAUGCAUAGAUAUCACGCAGAACUCCGAUUGCGAAGGCAGCUUACUAAACCAUAACUGACACUGAAGCACGAAAGCGUGGGGAUCAAACAGG